UUCAUAGGGUAACCGAUUUUC
ensembl:piRNA 21ur-10600 ncRNA